AUGUACAUUUCACAUCUUUGGAUAUUUUUUGGUGCUUUGGUGUCUUCAAAUGGUUGCAUAGAUGUCACCGUCAACGCCUCUCUGAAAUCUGAAGUCUAUCUCCCAUGUCACUUUGAUAUAAACCAUUACAAUGGAACAUUGGCAGUGAAUUGGAGACGCCAUUCCACUAUUAAGAGUCUUGUUACGAUCAUGACUGAUGGCAAAAUCAUCUUUGGUAGUCCUAGUGAAGGACGAGUGAAUGUUUUUCCCCUUCUGUCUAAACAUGGAAACUUCUCUAUCCUCAUCCAUGAUCUGCAGUCUUCAGACAUUGGCACCUACAUUUGUGAGCUGAACAGUGAAUGCUGGAGGGUGAAAAUCAUUGAACAGUACAGAAUCAGUGAGUCAAACUCCUGGCUCUACUUUGCAGCUGGAGCUGGAUUGUUUAUUCUCCUUUUUAUUGCUUUCAGCCUGUUAUUAAAAUUCUGUGGAAAGUGUGUAGAUACAUCAUCCAAAUCGAAUCCAGUUAAUGGAGCACGGAGUGAAGGUAGUAAUUCCCCCGAAGAAACACAGAAUACAGAAAGCAGUGAGCAUAGAAACAAAAACAAGAGGGGUGUGAGGAGGGGCCCUACAACUGUUUAUGAAAAUGACAUACAUGCUCCAAAUCAAAGUUCUGCUGUGCAGCCGGGGCAACAUCCUCAAAGAGCCUUUAGAGCCGUUCCCGAGCCAACAAGAAGUCAUCCUUCGGAUGCAAAACCAUACUACGUCAACCAGGCGGAGCUCUUCAUUCCAGUAAAUGCUGGCAAAAAACGGAAAAAACUAAAACGUGAUUACUUUUCAUUGUUCUGAAUUAAACGUCAUUUAUUUUGCAUAUAAAUGAAGGUUUAUUAAGGCACUUUUUUAUAUCAAUUACUGUAGCUACUGUAGUGUAAUUAUAUGGUUUUCUUUCAUUUCUCUGACAGAAAAUGUGUAUAAAAAUCCAAUAUAUGGAGACUGAAGUGAGACAGUGACAGCAGAAUAAUACAUGUUUCAAUCAGCAUAACAAAAUUGUUCAUUAUAAACAGUUCAAUAUCUCAAUAAAUUCUGAUGUUUAAUGAUUCAUGUGAAGAAUUCAUUUCAUUAAAAAAAAAUCUGUUUGUAAAGUGACAUGCACAAAACAUUAAAUGGAAAAUUAUUAUUAUCCUUCUGCCUCCUUUGUUUUGCAUAUUACAAACAGCAGUUUAUACAUUUUAAUAUUUUAGUUGGUCAGGUCUUUCAGUUCGUCUCAAGUUGACAUGUAGUUUUCAGAAAUUAGCAAGUACAUUGUUUGACAUUUUGAUCUGGAGGUCACUCGUUUUCUGAACAUAAUUCGUCAUAAAAUUCUCUCUUUUAAAUCAAAAUUAUUUGAACUCAUCCAAAUCUGGUAAUUAGCAUUUGUUUACAGCAGGGGUUCCCAAACUUUUCCAUUCCACGACCCACCUAGACAAGUAUAAUCUAUUUCAUGACCCACCAAAAUAUUUGAGAUAAAAAACAAAACAAAACAAUUGACAUUACUUUAAGCCUAAUCUUAAUUAAAGGUUUGAUAUGACAAAGUAUUUAAGAAAAAUAACCAUUUUAUUUUAGUGUACAACUGUAAAAUAUCACUAUAAUAUUUAAGUUUUAAUUUCUUUGUUUACAGACGUUAAAAUAUGAAACGUCCAUAAAAACGUGAAACAGGCUCACUCCAGUGAAAUGUAAUCUGUGCUGCGUGUUGUUAAACUCAUCGCGGGGUUCAGCGCAGAAAAUGCAUUCAUGGUCCUUCCGUGUGUGUGUGUGUGUGUAAGGGAGAGCGGUGCACAAUCACUUUUUUAGGAAAGCAUAAGAAGUAAAGCAGAACUAUCUAAAACAGUUUGGAGAUUAAAAUAAUUGGGAAAUAGGUAAGAAUAAUAAACAGAUGCGUCUCAUUUUAAAUAAACACAAAAAAAUGAGAUGACAAAGUUACUUCAGUCAGAAAUUUGCUUUUGCAAUGGUUAAAUAAAUGGUCAGCAAUAUCUUCAAAAGAUUUUUUAACUUUUUUUUUUCUCUAUAUAGAGAUAUGUGAUAUGUCAAGGAAAUAUUGCGAAAUUUUGUACAUUUUGUUAUGUGGAAAUGUUUUAAUCUUGUAGUGUUACAAUUAACC
ensembl:lncRNA